AGCAGCCGCGGUAAUUCCAGCUCCAAUAGCGUAUAUUAAAAGUUGUUGCAGUUAAAAAGUCGUAGUUGAAUUUUUCGGGGUCAAGUAGGUUGGUCGUGCCACCCGGUACGUACUGGUCCACUGAUUUCCUCCUUUCCUGAUGAGCUGUAAUUGCCAAUUAAUUUUGGUGUUUGCAGGAAUCUGGACUGUUUACUUUUUGAAAAAAAUUUAGAGUGUUUUUUAAAGCAGGGCUAACGUUGAAU
rnacentral:rRNA from 1 species